AUUCCAGCUCCAAUAGCGUAUAUUAAAGUUGUUGCGGUUAAAAAGCUCGUAGUCGACGUUCGACUGUCAUGUUCUAGCAAUACAUUUUGUGUUACUUUGAGCUAUGGCAGUCUGCCUGUGGUUCUUGCUAAAACUUGAGCCACAACUUUUACUUUGAGGAAAUUAGAGUGUUUCAAGCAAGCGUUUGCUUUGAAUACCAUAGCAUGGAAUAAUAAUAUAGGACUUUGGUUCUAUUUUAUUGGUUUUCGGAACUAAAGUAAUGAUUAAUGGGAACAGUCGGGGGCAUUCGUAUUUAACUGUCAGAGGUGGAAUUCUUGGAUUUGUUAUAGACGAACAACUGCGAAAGCAUUUGCCAAGGAUGUCUUCAUUA
rnacentral:rRNA from 1 species